AGAGUUUGAUCAUGGCUCAGAAUCAACGCUGGCGGCGUGCCUAACACAUGCAAGUCGAACGAGAAAGUGGAGCAAUCCAUGAGUAAAGUGGCGACCGGGUGAGUAACACGUGACUAACCUACCUUCGAGUGGGGGAUAACCUCGGGAAACCGGGGCUAAUACCGCAUAAUGCCUUCGGGUUAAAGGAGCAAUUCGCUUGAAGAGGGGGUCGCGGCUGAUUAGCUAGUUGGCGGGGUAACGGCCCACCAAGGCGAUGAUCGGUAGCCGGCCUGAGAGGGCGCACGGCCACACUGGAACUGAAACACGGUCCAGACUCCUACGGGAGGCAGCAGUGGGGAAUUUUGCGCAAUGGGGGAAACCCUGACGCAGCAACGCCGCGUGGAGGAUGAAGUCCCUUGGGACGUAAACUCCUUUCGACCGGGACGAUAAUGACGGUACCGGUGGAAGAAGCCCCGGCUAACUUCGUGCCAGCAGCCGCGGUAAUACGAGGGGGGCGAGCGUUGUUCGGAAUUAUUGGGCGUAAAGGGCGCGUAGGCGGUGCGGUAAGUCACCUGUGAAACCUCUAGGCUUAACCUAGAGCCUGCAGGCGAAACUGCCGUGCUGGAGUGUGGGAGAGGUGCGUGGAAUUCCCGGUGUAGCGGUGAAAUGCGUAGAUAUCAGGAGGAACACCUGUGGCGAAAGCGGCGCACUGGACCACAACUGACGCUGAGGCGCGAAAGCUAGGGGAGCAAACAGGAUUAGAUACCCUAGUAGUCC
rnacentral:rRNA from 1 species